rnacentral:lncRNA from 1 species
GAAAACAUAGUGGUGUAUAUAUAAAAAGAUGGGUGCCCAGAUGGUAAAGGGUGUAACUUAGAAAAACAAGGGGUGCAAAUUUAAUUUUGUUAAAUAUCAAAUUGGGUUUGAGCACAAUAAAUAAAAAAACGUGACUUAGGUAAAAUAGGGGGUGUAGGGAACAAUUAGCGUUUUUGCUCUGCCAUAAUGGGCUCAGCAUUGGCCCAGACAGAAAAUAAAAAAAAACGGAUAGGGGGUGGGGUGAGUGAAAACGGAGGUGCGGAAGUUAAUCUAAACCUAAAAAAGAAAACUAAAACAAAACAAAAAAACCUAAAUCUAAACCUAAUUUCAGAAACCCCUUAGGGGUUCUCUCAGACUCUCUCAUUUCUCACAUUCACUCUUGGGAAAACCUAGAGCUUCUCCCAGGGAAAAACGAAGACCCCACCCUCUUGCAAGGCCGCCGUGGCCUCAGCCAUUCCUUGCCUCUCCGACCACCUCCUGACCCCAAAGCUUCGCCGGAAACACCAGAGGUCGCCGGAAACACCAGAGGUCGCCGGAAACACCAGAGGUCGCCGGAGACACCAGAGGUAGCCGAAAACACAACUAGCCGUGGCACCCUUGAAUUCUUCCCUUCUUCUCGCGUGCUCAAGGCAAAUGCCAUUACUGGAACUGAGUGUCUUCGCCGUUCUCCGAUAGCCACCGUCAAGGUCAAUCCCCUGCGCCGCCGAAGCCAUCGUGACUUCCAGACGCUCAACCAUGGCAGCCACUACGUCGUCAAUUGUUCGCGCACUGUGUCGUCUACGUCGUCCAAAUCAACUCCAAUCCCAACUCCGACGAAACCCCUAACCUCCCUUGCUUCACGAUUCAAUCUCCGUUGUCCUUGCGCCUUACGGGUUCAACAAAAUGUUCUCACUCCUAGCGACCAUUACCAGCAAACUCAAACGCUGAUAUUACCCGUGCCAUUGUUGCAUACACGCAACUUAUCCCCUGCUUCCCCAAAUCGUACCAAAUUUCGCAUUUGAUUUCAACGCAUUUUGAUUGGUAUCCUCUAUUUUCUUAUUGGAAGUUGUUGUAUCAAAAAUUGUGAUGAGAACAGGAUUACUAUAUCAAAUGGAUUGAAAGUGUUAUCUGAGAUUGCUCUUGUUUGUAUUGUUUCUGUUUUGGGUAAUUUGAAAUAGGGAUAUGAUGAAUUUAGGGCCAGGUUUUUCUGUUGGGAUGAAACAGCUAUGAAGUUCUUCACGGUGUAAGUGAAAGUUGAUGAUGGUAACGGGGUUGGGCUGCGUGCGAGAGAGGUUUUCUUUCUUUUGCUGGUUUGGUCUCUUUUUUUAUUAAUACAAGGGCGUUGGUCUUGGUGUAACAAGAGAACUGAAACUGGGGUUGUUGGUGUUAGGGUCGUGUGUGAAGAUUAUUUGAUGGUUUUGAUGGUGGGGAAAACUCAGAGUGAUACGGGAUAAUGGUAGUAAUACAAAAAAAAUGGUAGAGAUCAUCAAUGGAGGAUGAAAAGAAUGCAGGGAUUUUCACAUCAUAACCAUGCUCAGACCCAACAACAUCAAUACUAAUAUAAAGAUACAUAAUGCAGCAAGCAUUGAUGACAUGAACAUAGUAUGUUUACCUUUUAAAGCUUUGUGUAUUGCUGAAAGUCUUGUUUUCGGUGAUCUUUUUUUAUCGCUUGAGUGCUCUUUUCCCCUUUUUUAGGUCAAUCCCCAAUAAUCGUCCCCAAAAAAAAUCUCUUACUGUUCCCCUCUUUUUUUGAUACUUUAACCGUUCUCUUCCUCUUUUUUUACCAAAACCCUAAAACCC